GAUUUUCAAGAACUACAUUAGUCUAUAGCAGCAGAAAGUCAGAGCCCCAGGAUGAUGAGAAAACUCUUCACUCUGCGUAAAAACAUAUUCCGCAGAGCCAGUGAGGAUGAACAGGAUAUGGAAAACCUUGCAAACUCUUCCGAGAGUAACUCUGGGAAGCUCGAGGACAAGGCAUCCACUCCCAAGGUCAGGGGUGUGUCAUUUACACCUUCGCACUUCUUGAAUGUUUCACCGGUUGUCCUUUCAUUGCUUCAGCAUCUAAAUGAUGAAUGACAAGAAGUCGGUUCACUACACUGUGCACAGACAUCGUAGGAUGGGUGUCAGAAGCAGCCACAAGAAUCAUCUUACCGGCACUUGCUCUUGUGCUGGAUGUCACCAUCACUGAGAGCAGUUCUUCCUCGCCUAUAUCAAGGUCAGAAUAACUCGUCUUGAAUACUGUUGUUGUAACCAGUUACUCCUUGUGUUACACAGAUGUCUUACUGUAAAGGUUUAGAUAUUUUAAGAAGUAGGCAGUUUUAUGUUAUAAGUUGAUUAAUUUUUGAUUAACAGUUUUUUCAGAAGGGGGGUGCGGUGGUGCAGUGGGUUGGACCGCAGUCCUGCUCUCCGGUGGGUCUGGGGUUCGAGUCCCGCUUGGGGUGCUUUGCGACGGACUGGCAUCCCGUCCUGGGUGUGUCCCCUCCCCCUCCGGCCCCACGCCCUGUGUUGCCGGGUAGGCUCUGCGACCCCGUAUGGGACAAGCGGUUCUGAAAAUGUGUGUGUGUGUGUUUUUUCAGAGCACUGGUAUAUUUCAAUACCAUACAACUGACCGUUAUAUUACUGUUUUCUGAAGCUUUUGGUUUAUAUCUGAAAUCCACACACAAUUCUGAAAGCACCUUAAAGUAGCGGCUAUAUUAUUGCUUCUCCUUUCUAAUGUCUUGGCUAUAGGGUCCUUCUGUAAGUUAAUGGUCAUUCAAUGAGGAAUGUAAUGAGUGUCAAUUUUAAUAGUAGAUUUGAAGAGUCUGAGAGCAUGAAGGAGCUUUCAGGUGAAGAGUCCUCCUUUGAUACAAAACAAGAUGAGAAAAAAUCCAGGACAAUUUCAAGUCGGGCUCCUUUGCUGAAUAUUGUUGGAGGUUUAGCUUCCCAAGAUAUCAGCACUUUGGAGUCAGAGGAUGCAGAGAAAUUAAGUCUUCCCUUUGUUGAAGAAAGAAGCUCUGCUGUGUCCCUGGAAGCUUCUUUUGAGAGUUCCACCCUGGCCGUUGACUUAUCUAACAGUUUGAUUGACAGUCAAGAACCUUGUCAACCACCUGCAAAAAGUCUACAAGAGAGCAGUAUUGAUAGCAGUGCUAAAAUAUCCACCAUCAGCUGUCCAGCUGGUAUCACUGACCAACUUUCCAGUAAGUGGUUCCACACAACAGCUGUGCAUGAAGGUGACAUAUCAUCUGACUUUGUUAGCAGUGAAAUCGCUCUGCCUCUUCUCAGAGAGGACGUACCUGGAGGAACAAGCUUUGUUUCCUUGAAAUCAGAUACAGAUGCAGACUCUACAGCAUCUGACAUUGUCACAAUUGUAUUGCAAGAUCUGCAGAGCUUAUCGGAGACCGUUCAGUCACUCGAUGAUUUUAGUACACCCAUUCUAUCAGAUAGUGCAACUCUGCCGGUCUCCAAGACUAGUAUUUUUGAAACUGUGCGUUGCAGGAUACGGGACUUUUUUAGUGACCUUCAUCCCUUAUCCCUCAGCAAACUGGCAAGACGUUCCAGUUCAAAGGAGUCUUGCGAUGAAAAAACCACAACAAGCAUUUUCAACGCAGAGGCAGAGACUCCAGUCUCAGGAGCUGAACGGACUGCUAGCAAUAUUGUAGACAUUGUCCUGCACUGGAUUAGUGAAGAUGUAGAGCAGAUUUCACCUGCUGCUCCCAGAAUGUGUAAAUCAGGUUCAGAUCUGAGGUUUGAUAUGCUGCUCUCUAAAGAAAACAUUCAAAUGUUGUCACCGCAGCUUGUUGGCAGAGUGCACCGCCUCAUAAUGGAGGACAACAGUGCCCUCCCUGUCAUUACAUUAGCAGCACGCAGAGUCAACUCUGAUUCGGCAGUUUCGAAGGGACGAGGUGGAAGGUUGGAGCUCGCCAGGGAAGCUUUCUCUGAGUUAGUUUACAUAUUCACGGAGAAAUGUGUGAGGAAGCUGUUGCAGGAAUGCCUCUACUGUCUUCCUCAUCCUCCUCACUCCGAUAAUUUUGAAGAUGUAGUUUGUACCACUCCUGUAACUUCCAGCAGUCUGGUGCAGGUCAUGCCAAGUCUACCAUUUCAGAGUGACAUUUCAGCCAUUCCCAGUGGACAAAGCCCCAAAAAAAUUUCAACAACGUCUGCAAGUUCAAGCACUCUCAUACAGGUUAUGCCAAGUCCAGCAUCUCAGAAUGAAUUUUCGAACCUCCACGUUGGACAAAGCACCCAGAAAGCCUCAAAGCCCUCCUUAGAACUCAGCAGUCCAAGCAUAGAAUCAUUAAUUACAGUUAUGGCCCAAGAAGUGAUGAAACUACUUCCAGAGAAGAUAGAUGACUGUAACCAAGUUUGGGAGUUCCUUGAGACUAAAGACAUCUGUGAGUCCACACCUCUUUCAUCAGCUGUAAAAUAUUCUGGUGUCAAUAACACAAAGGCCACAAACCACAGAUCUAGCAGUGGCUCUAAGGUUGAGGUGGACCCCAUAUCUGGGUCUGAGGCAGGACUGAAGAACGGGAAGAAAUUCUAAAAGCAGUGGAGUGAACGUGACCUAUGUUUCUUCAUCGAGCCAAUGGAAAGCAGUUAAACCACACCCAAUUAAAAAAAGUGUGGAACAACAGGUGUGUUGCUGCCAAGGAUAUGAAAAUAAGGAUAAUAAAGGAAGUUUAAAGUGCCA
rnacentral:lncRNA from 1 species